GCAUCUGGGACUGCCUUGGGGCAGGGCGGGCAGGGCAGGCCGGAUGGAUACGGAAAUAGCCGAACAAAACCGAUGAUCCACGAAGCACGUAGACUUAGUACUAUAAUAUCUAAUUUAUGUUAUU